AGAAAUGAGAGUUUUAGUCUCUAUAGUUAUUUUAUCAAAAUAUCCCUUAAUUUUCGGGCACAUUUCU
rnacentral:tRNA from 1 species